rnacentral:rRNA from 1 species
UACGUAGGGGGCAAGCGUUGUCCGGAUUUAUUGGGCGUAAAGAGCGUGUAGGCGGUUUGGUAGGUCCGCUGUGAAAACUCGAGGCUCAACCUCGAGACGCCGGUGGAAACCAUCAGGCUAGAGUCCGGAAGAGGAGAGUGGAAUUCCUGGUGUAGCGGUGAAAUGCGUAGAUAUCGUAAGGAAGACCAGUGGCGAAGGCGGGUCUCUGGACAGUUCCUGACGCUGAGGCACGAAGGCCAGGGGAGCAAACGGG